rnacentral:tRNA from 1 species
GUUGGUAGAGCAUCUGACUUUUAAUCAGAGGGUCGAAGGUUCGAGUCCUUCAUGGCUCACCAUUUACAUGUUGCGG